rnacentral:rRNA from 1 species
UGGGGAAUUUUGGACAAUGGGCGCAAGCCUGAUCCAGCCAUUCCGCGUGCAGGACGAAGGCCUUCGGGUUGUAAACUGCUUUCGUACGGAACGAAAAGCCCUUCUCUAAUACAGAGGGGUCAUGACGGUACCGUAAGAAUAAGCACCGGCUAACUACGUGCCAGCAGCCGCGGUAAUACGUAGGGUGCAAGCGUUAAUCGGAAUUACUGGGCGUAAAGCGUGCGCAGGCGGUUUUGCAAGACAGAGGUGAAAUCCCCGGGCUCAACCUGGGAACUGCCUUUGUGACUGCAUAGCUAGAGUACGGUAGAGGGGGAUGGAAUUCCGCGUGUAGCAGUGAAAUGUGUAGAUAUGCGGAGGAACACCGAUGGCGAAGGCAGCCUCCUGGGCCAGUACUGACGCUCAUGCACGAAAGCGUGGGGAGCAAACA